UAUAUACUCCCUCCGUCCGGAAAUACUUGUCAUCAAAAUGGAUAAAAGGGAUGUAUAUAGAUGUAUUUUAGUUUUAGAUACAUCCCCUUUUAUCCAUUUUGAUGACAAGUAUUUUCAGACGGAGGGAGUAUAAU
rfam:Triticum urartu cultivar G1812 contig505887, whole genome shotgun sequence.